rnacentral:rRNA from 1 species
UACGUAGGGUGCAAGCGUUGUCCGGAAUUAUUGGGCGUAAAGAGCUCGUAGGCGGUGUGUCGCGUCGGCCGUGAAAACCUGCAGCUUAACUGUGGGCUUGCGGUCGAUACGGGCAUCACUGGAGUUCGGCAGGGGAGACUGGAAUUCCUGGUGUAACGGUGAAAUGCGCAGAUAUCAGGAGGAACACCGGUGGCGAAGGCGGGUCUCUGGGCCGAUACUGACGCUGAGGAGCGAAAGCGUGGGGAGCGAACAGG